GGCGCGAUGGCGAAGUAGCUAACGCAGCGGUCUGCAAAACCGCUAUUCAGGGGUGCAAAUCCCCUUCGCGCCU
rnacentral:tRNA from 1 species